GAUGAACGCUAGCGGCGUGCCUAAUGCAUGCAAGUCGAACGGGAUCCUUGGAUUCGUCUGAGGUGAGAGUGGCGAACGGGUGAGUAACGCGUUGGUGACCUGCCCUAGAGAGGGGGACAACCAGUGGAAACGCUGGCUAAUACCCCGGAUGUUAUUGUGCUUAGAAAACAAUGACUGAAGCCUAAACGUAUGUGACGGCGCUCUAGGAGGGGCCUGCGUCCCAUCAGCUAGUUGGUAAGGUAAUGGCUUACCAAGGCAAAGACGGGUA
rnacentral:rRNA from 1 species